rnacentral:rRNA from 1 species
AGUGAACGCUGGCGGUAGGCCUAACACAUGCAAGUCGAACGGCAGCACAGUAAGAGCUUGCUCUUACGGGUGGCGAGUGGCGGACGGGUGAGGAAUACAUCGGAAUCUACUUUUUCGUGGGGGAUAACGUAGGGAAACUUACGCUAAUACCGCAUACGACCUACGGGUGAAAGCAGGGGAUCUUCGGACCUUGCGCGAUUGAAUGAGCCGAUGUCGGAUUAGCUAGUUGGCGGGGGAAAGGCCCACCAAGGCGACGGUCCGUAGCUGGUCUGAGAGGAUGAUCAGCCACACUGGAACUGAGACACGGUCCAGACUCCUACGGGAGGCAGCAGUGGGGAAUAUUGGACAAUGGGCGCAAGCCUGAUCCAGCCAUACCGCGUGGGUGAAGAAGGCCUUCGGGUUGUAAAGCCCUUUUGUUGGGAAAGAAAAGCAGCAGGUUAAUACCCCGCUGUUCUGACGGUACCCAAAGAAUAAGCACCGGCUAACUUCGUG